ACAAUUGUCAUAGCAACUAUUAUGUUCGACAAAUAGUUUAAGAACACGAUAAUUUUUUAAUUUGAAAUAUUUUUAAUUUUUAAAAAAGUUUAUCAACUAUAACGCAGUUCAUGACUAAUUGGAUUAAUAUAGAAAGCAAAUUAGACCAUUUUUUCAAUUCUAAAAUAUACCAAAUAUUACAAUUCGGUAUUUGGCAAAAUGGGUUCCAAAGAUAACCAAGAUGAAAUGUUUUCGAAAUAUGUAUGUGUUGCGGUCACACUUAGUGCUUGCACCGGCAAAAAAUUCUUAGAGCCCAAGAAGGAAAAGGAGAUCCAGCAUGCCCACGAAAUAUUGUCUCCUCGCCGUUGGAGACCCGGCUCUCGGGCAUGGAGGAGCAUGCGAUCUUUAUAUCUUUAUGUUGCCAAAAAAGUCACUUCCGCGUUUACUGAGCUUAGUCAUCUGACGUUGCCCAAUGCGGCCAUGGACUGCAGAUUUGCUUGGAGAUAUUGAGCAAACAUGGCACGACGGUGCGGUUUGUCAUAACCGAUCACGAAAUGUUAUUGAGGGGUUUCCCCAGUGGUAAUUUGUAUUAAUAUACGAGUAAGUUGUGACUGAUGCUGGAUACGGGCGAUGCUAUCAUGUCGUUGUCCAGGGACGUGGAGCAUAUGGGUCACAAGUUUCUCCUGCUUAGCAGCAGGCGAACAGACAAAACAUUGUCAGUCUGGGUGCCGCUGUCGAAAUCGAUCCUAAGAGCUGGCAACAGACGGCAAAAGUUUGGAUCCUGCAGAACUAUACAAAGCAUUUACGUACGGCUCCGUGAAACUAUGACGCAUCUUCCUCGACAGCUUCUUCAAUAGCUAGGAAUGUUGCAAAAGCCAUCAUUCCGUGCCCAAGUACGAGUUGAUGAACUGCGUGCUGAAUUCGCUGAAGCCUCGUAAACAAUAUAAUCACAUUUACAAUGAGUAUGAGAAUCGAACUUUGUGAUGCCUUCUGACGAUGAGCUACCACAAUCCUCAAAUCUGCGCUAUGCACUAUCCACCCGAGAGCCACCAAAGCCGACAAGCAAGCGCAAAGAGAGAGUUCAACAGCGAGCAAGAGAUCGAAGAAUUAGGGUCUGAAUCAUUUUCGUUGUCCGCUAUUCCAACGACAUCCGAGUCGAAGCAGGUCAGGAAGCGGAGCCUGCAACGGAUCACGAGGCGGAAAAGGAACUAGAGUCGCAGCGGGAGGCAGAACAGAAAGUUGAGCAGCUGCAAAGGGAAGUGUAUAAUUCCAUGAAGAUGGUUGCGCUCAAAAGCAACAGCAGCAACAACAAAUU